rnacentral:rRNA from 1 species
CUACGGGAUGCAGCAGUGAGGAAUAUUGCACAAUGGGGGGAACCCUGAUGCAGCAACGCCGCGUGGAGGAUGACGCAUUUCGGUGUGUAAACUCCUUUUAUAUGUCAAGAAAAUGACGGUAGCAUAUGAAUAAGCACCGGCUAACUCCGUGCCAGCAGCCGCGGUAAUACGGAGGGUGCAAGCGUUACUCGGAAUCACUGGGCGUAAAGGACGCGUAGGCGGGUUGGAAAGUCAGGUGUGAAAUCCUACAGCUUAACUGUAGAACUGCACUUGAAACUUCUAAUCUAGAGUAUGGGAGGGGGAGAUGGAAUUAGUGGUGUAGGGGUAAGAUCCGUAGAUAUCACUAGGAAUACCUAAAGCGAAGGCGAUCUCCUAGAACAUUACUGACGCUAAGGCGUGAAAGCGUGGGGAGCAAACAGGAUUAGAUACCCUUGUAGUC